rnacentral:rRNA from 1 species
GACGAACGCUGGCGGCGUGCUUAACACAUGCAAGUCGAACGGGCCCGCUCUCUUUUUUGGGGGCGGGUUGAGUGGCGAACGGGUGAGUAUCACGUGAGUAACCUGCCCCCUGCUCCUGGAUAACUGCUUGAAAGGGCGGCUAAUACGGGGUGUGCCGGCUGGUCCGCAUGGGCCUGGUCGGGAUAGUUUCAUCUUCGGGUGUUUCGGUGGGGGAUGGGCUCGCGGCCUAUCAGCUUGUUGGUGGGGUGAUGGCCCACCAAGGCGGUGACGGGUAGCCGGCCUGAGAGGGUGGGCGGCCACACUGGGACUGAGACACGGCCCAGACUCCUGCGGGAGGCAGCAGUGGGGGGUAUUGCACAAUGGGCGGAAGCCUGAUGCAGCGACGUCGCGUGAGGGAUGGAGGCCUUCGGGUUGUGAACCUCUUUCUCCGGUGGUGAAGGCCCUGUCCGUUGCGGCGGGGUUGACGGUAGCCGGGUAUGAAGCGCCGGCUAACUACGUG